UACGGGGGGGGCAAGCGUUGUUCGGAAUUACUGGGCGUAAAGGGCGCGUAGGCGGUCUUGUAAGUCUUGUGUGAAAUCCCUCGGCUCAACUGAGGAACUGCACGGGAUACUGCGAGACUUGAGUUCGGGAGAGGGAAGCGGAAUUCCGGGUGUAGCGGUGAAAUGCGUAGAUAUCCGGAGGAACACCGGUGGCGAAGGCGGCUUCCUGGACCGAUCACUGACGCUGAGGCGCGAAAGCUAGGGGAGCAAACGGG
rnacentral:rRNA from 1 species